AAUAGAUGAGUUUGGUGAUGGCUCUGAUUGAAUGCUGUCCAAGUGCUUGACACAUGCUAAUCGUACGUUUUAAUUGGUAGUUUACUACAUAAAUUAAAAAGUGGUGUACAGGUGAGUAUAAUGAUAUUCUUAGCCGACCUUAAAGUGGAGGUAAAUCCUUCAUAACACAUAAAGGGAUAUAUAAUCCUGCUUUAAGAGGAUGAUAAAUAUCUUCGGGAUAGGUAGUAGUUAAGGUGAUGGCUUAACUAGCCUAAAACUCUCGUAGUCGAAUCUGAAAGGUUGAUCGACCACAUUGGGUCUGAAAAAACCCCAAUGCAAGUUAGUACAGCAGUGAGGAAUCUUGGUCAAUGGCCUAACGGCUGAACUGGCAACUUGGAGAAGUGGCAAGUCUUAUUUUGAUUAUAUUAUUAUAUAUAAUCUAUAAGAUUGUAUUAAAAUUGAAUAAAGCUUUGUUUAUAUAUUGAUAAUGACAGUAUAUAUAUUGUGUCUUGACUAAUUACGUGCCAGCAGUCGCGGUAAUACGUAAGAGACUAGUGUUAUUCAUCUUAAUUAGGUUUAAAGGGUACCUAGACGGUCAAUAUAACUUCUAGAAUGUUAGUACUUGACUAGAGUUUGAUAUAAGAGGGCAGUACUUGAGGAGAAGAGAUGAAAUUCUAUUAUACCAAAGGGACUCGGUAAAGGCGAAGGCAGCCCUCUAUGUAAAAACUGACGUUGAAGGACGAAGGCAUAGAACACAAACAGGAUUAGAUACCCAAGUAGUCUUUGCAGUAAAUGAUGAAUGCCAUAGGUUAGAGUUAGUUUUAAUAAAUUAGUUUGUCAGUAAUAAACUAACUAUUAAAUAAUAUUUAGUCUAUAAAUGAAAGUGUAAGCAUUCCACCUCAAGAGUAAUGUGGCAACGCAGGAACUGAAAUCACUAGACCGUUUCUGACAUCAGUAGUGAAGUAUGUUGUUUAAUUCGAUAAUCCACGAAAAACCUUACCACAAUUUGAAUAUUUUACAGGAGUUGCACGGCUGUUUUCAGUUAAUGUUGUGAAACUGUGAUUUCCAUGAAAUUAACGCAAUCCCUAGCUUUAUUUUUUUUUAUUACGAUAAAGCAUUUGAUCCAGGAUCUGGAAAGAUAAAAGGGACAAAGACAAGUCAUCAUGGCCUUGAUAUUGUGGGCUAUAGACGUGCCACAUUUUCCUACACAAAGAGAUGCAAAAAUGUGAAUUUAAGCUAAUCUCUAAAAAUAGGAUACAAUUAAGGAUUAUAGUCUGAAAUUCGACUAUAUGAAUAAGUAAUUACUAGUAAUCGUGAAUCACCAUGUCACGGUGAAUAUACCUUGGAUUGGUACUAACCACUCGUCACAUGCUGAAAAGAGCAUGCGCAAUAAGUUUGCUUUCUUAAUAAUUAGUAAAAUGAACAAGCAGGUUGUAUAUUCUAUUAUUAAGGAUCUUCGUAUGCGUGGCUCUAAUUAGUGUUAAGUCGAAAUACGGUUCGCGUAGUGGAAGUUGCGCGGGAUUAAUUAACAU
rnacentral:rRNA from 1 species